UUUGAUUUUCAUGAAAAUUGUGCUAAUUGAAAUAUAUAAACUCCAACUGAGUACUCAUAUUUAUUUGUUGUAUUUACUCCCAAAAUUCCAUCUAGUCCAACUUCAUCCAGAUGAUAUACUCCGUGACUCUAGAAUCCUCCUCCAGCUAAAACCCUAAACCCCCGGAUUACUACUACAAUAUAAACAAACAGAAAGGAGGAGGAAACUCCUCUAUCUCAGUUCUCCCUCGCCUCCAAACCAACUUCACCAUUUCUCGGAUCAUAACAAUUCUAGAGUGAGACAGAUACAGAGAAAAUGGCAAGUUCAACCGCUUCAAGGCUGCUCAGCUUCACCAAACACAACUCAGCUCUCCAAAGCCUCAUUCGCAGCCACCUCCUCCGCCCUACCGCCGCCACAACCCCCUCAAUCACUCAUCCACCCUGCCGCACUGCAGAGCGGCAAACUCCAGACCUAAAGCCAACGCAGAGGUCCACAAAUAUAACAGAGAUAUCGGAGAAGAUGAUGAAGAACCCAGUUGCAGAUAUUAGGGGUUUUUAUCCAUCUGGGAUGGUGGGUUUCCCUGGGGUUGAUCAAUCUGGGAUUAUGCAAGCCCGCAAGGAUAGUGAUGGGUCCUUCGGUUUUGUUUCUGAGACUGAACUUGAAGAUAGUGAUGGAGAUUUUGGGUUUGACUUGAACCAUUACGAUGAUGCGGGCGAGGACGACGACGAUCUCUUCCAGGAUACCCACGACGAGGAUGGCUCUGACUCCGAGUAGCAUACUUUUGUUUUCAUCACUCAUUAUCUUUCAUAUUUUGCUAUUCCAUUAAUCGCAGAAGAUUAUUAACCAGCUAUGGUAUUAUUAUUAUUAUUAUUAUUGGCUACAAAAAUGUCUGUGGAAGUUGGCAAUUGUAGAAUGACAAUUCGAAUUAGGCUUUUUCCUUUUGAUCUAUGAAAUGUUACUCCUCCUCUGUGGAUUUCUCUUGAAUAUAUAUAUAUAUAUAUGUAUGUAUGUAUAUGUGUGUGUGUGUGUUCUACUUUGCGUUUAAUUGAACAUUUCAAGUAAAAUUGGACUAAAAUGAAUGAUUCAGUGUAUAUUUUGGGACAAUAGAAAAAUGAGGGACAAAUUAACAUCUUGUUCUGCUGCCUCAAGAAUGACUCGAGAAACUUGGACCAUUUCUUUCCAGCUUCAGAAUCGUUAUAUCUGUCGCUACAGAACAAUUCUGUGUCUUGCAACCUUUUCUUCUUCUUCUUUGUAUUUGAGCUGCUGAGGGUACAGUACACUAUUGUUAAGCGCCUGCACGUGGAGGACAUUAAAACACUAACUAUUGGGUACAACGGUGAAGAUCAUCAGCAACUAUAUAUAAAUGUCCUAUUCCUGUACCUGGUGUUGGUUGGGCAUUCAAAUUAACACUACUGUUUGUAAUGAAAAAGCGGUCUAAUCAAAUCGGUUUGGUUGAAUCGGUAUGAUUUCUGAAUUUUUCGCUGUUCAUUCUGGCUUUAAAACUUUCAAUCCAAAUCUAUGCAAUACUGCUCUUUCGUAGAAAUUAUUAUACAUGAAUGAAUGUGCAGAGAAGUUUCUAUCUUUUCCAGAUUGCAACAGAUUCCCAUCUCAUCUGAUGCUGCCCUACCUUCAACGAAUAAACCAUACCAUGAUACAGAGACAGCUCUUAGUUUGUGCUAGGGUCCUAUCUUAUAUAUUUUUUUUAACAAAAUAAUUGCUACAAGUCUCAUAUUUUUCUUUUUGAAUUGAAAGGAAAACUAUCGAAUUGGGUGAGGGAGAAGGGGAGUUGAUUGUGUCAAUUGGGAUGCUUCUCCACAGGACAUAUAAUCAAAACAGCCCGCCCGUCCAAAUUUACAUGUUUUUUUUUGUUGUUUUCAUCGACUCCAUUAGGGCCAUUAAGCUCAAAUUUGAGGUUGAGUUUCAAAGUUCAUCGAGUUCGAAUUUGAUAAAAUUGAGUCGAGUUUAAUUGAUUAGAUCAAAUUUUCAAUUCGAUUUAGUUCAUUUAUAGUCUCAAGUCUCGUCAAAACACUAUGCGAAAUUGUACAAGGGAACACACACACAUAUAUACACACUCAUUUUCUUUAAUAAGAAAAUCCUUGAGGAUUUAGUUUUUGGUCAUCGGAUGGGAUGGUACAAAUUAUUUUGAAAAAUUGUUAGCACUUCAAGAAUUAUCAUUCCACGUUUUGGAUAUUAUACUGGAUAGAGAUCGCUCAAUGACGGGGUUGUUGUUAUAUCUUUUUUUUUCCCUGUUUUUGUAUACUUUUAGAGUUAGAAAUUACUGUUUUCAUAUAAGCAAAAAGGCUCAUGUUUCAACUCUUUUUUUUUUCUUUUUUCUUUUUUCUUUUGAGAAAUGUUAUUUGCACUUCCAUUUUUAUUAAUCAUACUUUCACUAUCAUUUUAAUCAUACAGUUUUCAUUUGUUAGACUAUAUGAUAAAAUAAACGAUGAGAGUACAAAUAACAAAAAAUAGGAUGCAAAGAAUAUUUUCCUUUUUUCGUUUUGGCUUCUAUCAACGUGAGUUACAAUAAUGAUCCAACAGGCAAAUGAUUGUGCAAACGAGUUAUCUAAGAAGAAUCACUAUUUUUCUAUUCAAGAAGAUUAAUUAAUUAGUCAUUAGGUGCUUUUGUUUAGUAUAUUUAGAGUAGAGAACUUUUUUAAAAAAGGUAAAUUGUUGUUUUAAUGUUUCAUUAUCACAUUGACUUUUGAUUUAAUGUUUAAAACAUUUUGUUCAGGACUUUUGUUUGUCCCCAUUAUAAUUUUUAAUUUUAGCAUAUAUUUUCUACUGUCUCAAAUUAUUUUCAAAUAAUUACACUUUUAUAAGAGAUUAUAAAUUUUAUCUACUAAAUGAACAUCUUUGUUUUCAAGAUUCAAUGACAGGUUUGAAAAAAGAACUGGUGCAAGUGCACAGGAUAAGAAGUAUAUUUGGUUAGGCUAAUCCGCUAAUGUAUUAACAACUAUUACAAAAAAAAAAAAAAAAAAAAUAAAAAAUCAAACAAGUCUAUAUUAGUGAUUAGACUAACUGUGACCCAAACCCGCACAGCUCACAACCCCCGACCCAAAACUGAGUAACUGGAAAUGGACCACAUUGGAAUUCAACCAACCCGUCUUCUGACCCUACAAAGACCCGACCCAAAGCAUCAUAAGAGUUGCGCCAUUGGCUCGACUCCUGAACUCCUUCCGGCCAGUUGGGACAUUGAGCUUGAAGUCUUGAACUACCACCGGCAGUAGCAAUGGAAACGGCGGAAACUUUUUUAUACGAAACCCUAAGUCCUCUGAGUCUCACUACCAACACCGACGAACCGCCGCCAACUUCGUCGCCGCCAUGUUCGUCUUCAAACCCAGAUGAAGCCGAACCCUAUGUUGUCUUCCGCAACGAAAUUUCUCUUUUAUCUACUCAGUCCUCGACAACUGAAACCGCUGCUCCUGAAUAUUUCUCCCUCGACGUUAUUGAUGUCGUAGAGAAUGUUAUAGAUACUCCAAUUCCGACUCCCGAGGCGUCUCCAGCUGCAACACCAGUAAAAGAGCCGGAGCGGGAGAGAAGACUGGAGGGGAAUUGGUUUCGAGCUAACUGUCGCUUCAAAAGUCCCAUGCUUCAGCUCCAUAAAGGUAUCUUUUUGUCAGCAUUUAGAGUUUGAUAUUAUCUCUUUAACUGCACUUUUCCUCCGCAUUUAUGGAAAUUAUAGUGCUAUUGCUUACGUAAUUGGAAGAAGCCAGUUGCUUUGAAGUUUAUCUGGAGCAUCAGUGGUGAACUUGAAUUGUUCAUGCUUCAGCUUUUCGAUUACCAGUCGUUGGAAAGAUUCUACUAGACACAAAAGAAAUAAUUUAGAUUAAAAAAAAUUUAAUGGUGUUGGAUUUGGACACAGUUUUAGGUUUUUUCAUUCCAAGUUUUGGUUUAGGGUAUUGAGUAUUUCCACCUACACAAUGUGGGGAUUUUCUGUUUUGUGUAUUGAUGAGCUGCUAUGAAGAGAGAGGAGAGAGGCAGAGCACUCUGUCCGGGGAUGUGAGUUGGUGAUUUAGUCUUCUGAUUUUGAUGUUGCAGAAAUACUAGAUUUUUGUGACUUUCUAUCUCCAACUCCAGAAGAGCAGGCAUCUCGGAAUGAAGCUAUAGAUGCUGUUUUUGAUGUUAUUAGAUAUAUCUGGCCCAACUGCAAGGUUCACCUCUAUCCCGAGCCAUCGUCCCUUUCAUGCAAGUAUGUAAUUCAACUUAUAAUUUCUGCAACUGCAUUUUAAUGUGUCUCUGUUGAUCUUGCAGCCAGAAGUUUUUGGGUCAUUCAAGACGGGGCUCUAUCUUCCUACAAGCGACAUUGAUGUAAUUUGACUACUCCCAUGUGCUUUUCUGUAUCUUUACCUUCAAUUUGCCAAGUCCACAUUUCCCCAAAGAAUAAAAUUGAUAAUGCAAAAAGGAAAGUUAAAGUGAGGAGCUUAGGUUUAUUGUUUUGUGUGUUUAACUAGCUUUUGUAGUCCUACAUGCUAAGGACUCAUUUUGAUGUGUCUUGUUUGUGUUGAUUCCACCUGCCUACAUAUUCUUUCAUUGUUAUAAAUCUGACUUUACUAGUCGUAUGUUUAUGAAUAUGUGGGCUGUCAAUCCUUUUCUACUUGCUUGAGAUGUGAUUGAAGUUCCUCAAGUUGCUUGAUUAUAUUAGUUUUACAUACAUAAUUUGAUCACAAAGCUUUGCUUCUUGUUGACAAACUGACAGGGAAGUGGAUACUCAUUUUAUUCUAGUUUGUGUUUCAGAUUCUGGAAAGCGAUUCUUAGGUUAUUGUUUACAUUAUUUGAAAACUGAUUAGUUGUAGAUGAAAUAUCAAAGUUGAACUUAUUUAACACCAGUGGUGCAUGACAGGUUGUGAUAUUGGAUUCCAAAAUUUCUCGUCCUCAGAUUGGUUUGCAAGCUCUUUCUAGAGCCUUAUCACAAAGAGGAAUUGCAAAGAAGAUUCAGGUCAGAUAAAUGUAACAUUUGAAUGUAUUCUUUGGUGAAAACUUUCUCGUUUGACCAGCUUUGGCGUGACUGCUUUUUUAUUCUAUUAGGUGAUUGCAAAGGCUCGUGUGCCAAUUAUCAAAUUUGUGGAGAAAAGAAGUGGUUUCGCAUUUGAUAUAAGGUCUAUUCUCCAAAAAUGUCCUGGCUAAUAUUGCUGAUCUUACUCCAAUUCAGCAGAAAGCAAGAACUCUGAUUGUCUAGAUUCGCAUGCAUAUUAACUGUUGUUUUGAUUGAAUAAUUAAUGAAGGGUUUGCUGUGCCAGUUCCAAUUUCAUCACUAUUCGUCUGAUUGAGCAUAGUUGAAAGUAGCUCUUCCGCUGAAGCAUCGAUCUGUUGUUUAACCUUGAUGUAUUUGUGGUCUUGGAUAUAAGAAAGAAUAAGGAACUUUCUUGUAGGCACUCAUAAGUUCUCUAUUAUUUUCUUAAAAUGUGAUAUUCUUUUUCCCUUUUUUGCAGUUUUGAUGUACAAAAUGGACCAAAAGCUGCUGACUUUAUAAAGGUUUCUGGAUAUCUUUUGGACCAAUAUAGUAUCUGCAUGGAUAAUCUAGUGCCUUUACUAAUCACUGGUCUUUUGUCUUUUAGGAUGCUGUAGCUAAAUGGCCUCCUCUGCGACCAUUAUGUUUAAUUUUGAAAAUAUUUCUACAACAGAGAGAGUUGAAUGAGGUGGUGUUCUACUUUUUACUCUCCAAUUGAUUUACCUGCUAUUACUUGGUUGUUCUUGUUCUUAUAUUCGUUGCUUGUGGGGUUUAAGGUAAUUGUUUCUUUUUUCUGGUUUUAUCCUGUAGGUGUAUAGUGGUGGGGUUGGUUCCUACGCGCUGCUGACCAUGCUGAUAGCUAUGCUGCAGGUAAUUUAGUCAAGUUUGGAAGAAAUGUACAUCAAUAAGGCGUUCUAGUAAAUUCACAUUGUGGUUGUCAAUAUUUUCUGUAAAGCCAGUCUCAAUGCUCAGAUGUCAUGCUAAAGGAUUAUCUUCUUCUUUUCGUCAUUCAAAUUUCGGCCAUUACAAUUUGCCUUACUUUUUCUUAUUCAAAGUAUAGCCCUACGUAAUUAACAUCUGCUUGCUGCUUGACAUUUUGAAGAUCAUUAAUUGUGAAAUGCCUUUUUUGUGAAGGAAAAUCAAGGUUUGUGGCGAUACAAAGUAAUAAUGGAAUGGGAUACUGACAUUAGUUAAUUAUUGGUGGAGUAAAAAGAGGAGAGUAACUGGACUAAAAGUUAAUUCAUUUUCUUUUCUGAUAUAUUAUGUUAUGAGAAGUUGGCAAUAGCACCUCCAUGGUGCUUGUCUGAUGCAAACUCCUAACUGCACCGAAAGUUAGUUGAUUUUAUUAGUAUGAGUAGUUGAUUGCUGAUUACUUUGGUUCCCUUCUUCCCUUGUCUUUUAAUGCUUGAUUGUUUUUCGUUGUCUCAUGGUAUUUAAUUAUGCAGAAUUAUAAUUAUCGCCAAGCUUCUCCGGAACACAAUCUGGGAGUUCUUCUGGUGUGUUUCCCAUAACAUAUACUACUAAUGCUUAUGCUUGUCAUGUUAGCCGUUUUGUUAUAGUGCAGCUGCAGUUUAGCAUUUAAUUGCAUGUGCCAAAAGUUGAAUUUAUUCAUACUACAGUUACACUUUAGUAUCUAAUGCAUGAGCCAAAAGUCAAAUAUUUGUAUUUGUGGCUAGUCUUUGGUUUUAAGUUAAUGCUUUUGAAAAUAGUACAGGGAAAUAAGAACUUUUAAGUAGUUGAUAUUUUGUUUCCUUUGAACGAUAGGUGAACUUUUUCGAUAUGUAUGGCCGCAAACUGAAUACAGCUGAUGUUGGUGUAUCUUGCAAUGGAGAAGGCACCUUCUUCUUGAAGAGCAGGAAAGGGUGAGAAACUUAUCCUAUGUACUUGUUUAUUUGUUGCCGUUAUUUCGUUUUGGCUUAAGCUUGUAAUUUGAACUUUAUAUCCGUCUCUUUUAAUGUUUCAGGUUUUCUAUCAAGGGAAAACCUUUUGUUAUCUCCAUUCAGGAUCCGCAGGUUAUUUGAAGUUUUUAAUGUGUCUUCAUUCAUGAUACUUUUCUAUCUUGUUACUUUCAGAGUUGCAGAUGGACUGGUCUUAAAUUUCUAAACAGCUGGAUAACAAUUUUUCUAUUUCUUGAUUUGUUAUUGAGCUUGGACUGCUCGAGUCUGAAUUUCUUGCUGUCCCAAGAGUAUGUCCAUCAGGACAGUGCAGAGGGCUUUACAAUUAGUUUGGGGCAGAUUUGAGCUGCUGAAGGAAUUUAUUCAGUUCCUGAGUGAAUUGAAGACAUGCAUUAUCUUCAAUUCAAAACCUCAUAGGAUGCAUGCUCUUUCAAUUUCAUGCUGUUGAAAGUUUAAGUAGAUUCAGCUGGUAAAGGAUAUAUCAGAUUUUUUUUGUUGAUUCUCUGCAUAAAGAAUGUGAAGUGGCAACAUAGCUUUUGUUUUGAUUCUCUGCAUAAAGAAUGCAAAUUAGUCCAAGACUACAUGAUCUAUCUUCUUCUUCUUUCCCUUUUUUUUUUUUUUUGUGUUUGGGGGGGGGGGGGGGGGGGGCGGGGAGGUGGUUGGUUUGUUCAAAAAGAACUAUGUUAUCUUGUAGGUAUGUUUUUUGUGAUCGACAUUAUCUUAUGAAUCUGAUGCCUUUACUGUUGUAGGCCCCAGAGAAUGACAUAGGAAAAAAUUCCUUCAACUAUUUCCAGGUAUCCCCUUGUUCAUUUAUGAUUCUCUAUUUUGAGUUUCUUUUCAUGUGCCAGAUGUUGGCUGCUAAAACAAGUCAAUUUGCCAAAGGAACAGAAACUGAGAGUUCCUUUGGGUUCCAUUUCUACUUGGUUUAGCAUCACGUAGUUAGGAAAGUCAAAAAGUAAUGCUAUUUGAGCUACUUUGUACCCUAUCCACUGAUUUAUAGCUGCCUGUACAUUAUGGCUAGGAAACAAGAAAUUGCCUGCAAAACUAUCUGCUCUAUUUGCUGAUUCUCAUGUCAUCCUGUUGAUUUUAGAAGUAAUCAUCAUUGAUUUUACAUCUAUUUUUGUCUGGAGGAAAGAAAUGGUCCUCAACUGUAUUCAAGCACAGCAAGCCAUCGUCCACCAUAUCAUAAAAAUGUUUGUCUUACCUCUGAUCUUUGUCAAGUUUCCAGAAACUGAAGUUCUUAUAAUUCCUAUGAUGUAGACCCAUGUGAUUUCGUGCAUUACGUUUCUGACAUCUUCAUGCACCUAGGAGUUGGUGUUGGUAUUAAUCAGUUUUAAUCAUGAUUGAUUCUCAGACCGACCCUAACUUAUGUUGGCUUUUGCAGGUUAGAUCUGCUUUUGCAAUGGCUUUCAGUUCUCUGACAAAUGCAAGAGCUAUUCUGGGCAAUUGUCCCAACAGGAGCAUUCUUGGUACCAUUAUAAGGCCAGAUGCAGCGCUGCUAGAACGGAAAGGAGGAUCUAAUGGGGAGGUGACAUUUAAGAAGUUGCUUCCAGGUGCGGGAGAGCCACUGGCUGAACAAAAUGGUGAUCACAGGGAGAUAUAUUGUAACUGGGAGUUGGGUGAUGAGGAUGACGAACCACUUCCCCGGGGAAAUCCAAUUUCUGGAGAUGACAGUGAACAUUCCUCAGGAAAGAAGAGGAAGAAAUCACUUCAGAGGAAGGCUGUUAAGAAGGUGAAGCAGAGUGGGGAUGAUAAAACUGUCAGACAUGGAAAAAUUAGCUCAGGGAAGAAGUCUAUGAAGGAUUGGAGACGUCAUCAAGAUGGUGGUGAUAGCAAUGGAUACAGAAGCCAUGAUAGGGUUUCAUCACUGAGGAGGCCUGCUUGAUCAAGCAAUUUCCGAGCAUCCAUCUCUCACAGUCGUAGAGCAGCAGCAAUUAGGAAUCACAGAGACGAUCCAUGAUGCGAAUGCUUCUUCCUGGAGUUUCUAGUAAUUGUGCAAUUACAAUUAUGGCGAUAAUAUUGCUUCUCAAAAAAUAGAUCAGGGAAACUUACCAGUUAGACCUUUAGCCAGGAACCUUGAUGCUCUGCCCUGGAUCUUUCCUUGGUGGGACUUGCGGGGUGGAAUUGGUGCUUCAAGCUCUUAUUGCUAAGUGCAUGAUUGAUCAUCAGUCUGCCUUGGAAUCCUCUGAACCAUGGCGGAGUAGCAGCAGUGUCAAAAUGCUCAUCGCUUAAGGUGUUGAAGCUAUCGAGGAUUUUCAGCCAUAAUUUGAGGAAAGAGUAGGGAAUUUAAUGCUGCUGUAACUCGGUAAGUUCUGUUGGAAAAACCUUAGGUCAUACUUGGACUGUAUUUGUCCUACAUUUAUACAUCCAGCAUCAGUUCAGGUGCUAAAUUUUUGUUUUUGUUACAUUUUUAGAGCCUACGUGUUAAUAUAGCAGCUUCAACAUGUAUACAAGUAAGAACCUUUUUUUUUUUUUUAACAUUUGUUUGGAUGCCAGGUAAUGACAUAUUACCGUUUAACGUGUCCGGGGUAAUCUGCAAGUCAUUAGUCACGACACGGUGCAUGGUAGCUGUAGCUGGGGGGACAAGAAACAUUAUUGAAUAUUCAUUGUAUCACAUUCAUGACGACCCUUGUAUAUCAUCUUGGUAAAAAACCCUCCCUAGCUUUUAUAUAUAUAUAUAUAUAUAUAUAUAUAUAUAUAUAUCUGAUCUGCAUCUGGAUCGGGUGGGCCGCCAGGGAGUUAUUAAUUAUUUAAGUCAAGAAAAAUAACGUUGGUUAAAACACAAUUAUGCGUCGUGCUUUCCCGGCCAUUUAAUAAGCUCUCGCAUUCUUGUACUGAAAUAUAUAUAUAUAUAUAUAUAUUGGGUACUUGUCGCUAUAAAUUGCUAUUGUCUUGAACUGGUGAUGCAAAUUUUGGAUGAGCAAAUCGUGGGCGUUAAGAAGCCGAGGAUUCAAAAUUCAUGCUUUGUUUAUUUUGUCAUUAUGAUAGUUGAAAGGGCAAGAAUAGAAGACUAUCAACUAUAUAUCUCUUAAUCUAUGAGUACAUUAAUCUAACUGCCUUCAACUUCCGACUUAAUUAUUGUUGCAAGCGCAUAACAUAUUGACAUCCAACUGCAAAACAGAUCAACAUGCACUUAUUAUUAUUGUUUGCUUUGCAGAGUGGGCCACUUUUAUCCCUGUUGAUUGAUCAUAAACACAUUUCGCCCCUUUUGUUUUAAUUUUUAGAAUAAUAAUAUAUUUAAUCAGUCAAUUAUGACUAAAUGAAGCGCAUGAGGGGCGAGUCAAAGGGCUCUCAGCAUAAUUUGGGCUAGAGGGAGGUACUGAGUGAACCAUCCUGGUGGCCACCGCCUAGUUUUGUGGGGGUGAAAAUCUUACCUCCCACCAAAAUAUCACAUUUAAGUGAUGUGCUUAAAAAAAAUUCAAACGGAUGUAUUGUGUAUCAAUUUGAUUCAGUGAUAGUUUAAUCCCUUUCGAAUUAUUUUUGGACCUCUUUAGAUCUACUCUCUCCCCCUUUUAGUGUAACAUAGAUUAGAUUAUAUAAUUAUCGUCGUCUUUGCAAACAAAAAAAAAAAAAAAAAAGGAAGAAGGAGGUAGCGAGUGACCAGAGGUGUCUCAGUAUAAUUAUUGUUGUUCAAUUAGAAAGCUUAGCGAAUGUACGCGAAAAGGAAAAAAGGAGAAUUGUGUAAAUUCGCAGUAGUCAACGUAUGAUAAGACAGAAGGGAAGAAAAGGCCAAAAAAAAAAAGAAAGAAAAAAGAGAGAGAAACAAACAAAUGUCGAAAUAAGCUUAGACAUCGGGGUUUGUCGAUCACUGUCCCAGACUCCAAGUUACCUUUGCGAUAGUUCUUUUCUCUCCCCGAAUUAUUGUACUGAAUCAGUAGGCUCCUUGAUUCGAGUGCCAUACUGGACACUAGAAAAUGAAUCCAAUGUCAAUCUGUACGCCGUCGUCGUCGUCAUCGUCAUCGUCAUCUUCAAGCUCAACUAAAGCCUGGAUAUUUCACGGCAUUGCUGUUGGGGCAGCUGUAGCCGUGGCUAUCGGAGCUCACGCUUACCUUUAUCUCCGCCGUCCUGGGAAGUUUCGGACGCGGGUCGUUGGAAUUAUACCCGCCCGUUUUGCUUCCUCUCGCUUCCCGGGCAAGCCACUUGUUCAGAUCCUCGGCAAACCCAUGAUCCAGGUCCUACUCACGACCCUCUUUACUUACCCGCCCCUCAAUUUUCUAUAUUUUUGUGAUUAAAUUUUCAUUUCUGGAGAUUGUUGCAAAAGGUUGACGAUUCAUGAUUUAUUAGUUCCCAACUUUCCUGGCGUUGUUUUAUGUUGAUUGUUCAUUUGAAUAUCAUCACCACGCUAUCCAGAUGGUGAAAAAAUAAACAUCGAAAAAAGAUGAAUAGAAAGAAAGUGUGAUAAACCUUGGGAGGCUAUAUAUUUUUUGCAUGAACUGCUACUGAGAUUUUCUUAUGCUGAUUUAUCAGAGAACAUGGGAAAGGGCUAAAAUGGCUUCCUCAUUGGACCAUGUUGGUAGGGCUUCAUCUUGUAUAAUCUGUUGUGCAUUUAUAUGGUGUAUUCUAUAUUUUAGGCUUAAUUUUUCUCGUGAUUAAUUGGAUUUUUUUUGUGGUAUAGUGGUGGCAACGGAUGAUGAGAAAAUUGCUGAUUGUUGUAGAGGAUUUGGUGCUGAUGUGAUAAUAACAUCAGAGUCUUGCCGAAAUGGUAUCAGUCUGUUUCCUUUGUUGUGCUUUUCUCUCUAGUUUUGAACGUGUUGACAGUGUAGCUGUAUAUACUUGCUGAUGUGCAGGCACGGAGCGGUGUAACGAAGCUCUUCAAAAGCUGGAAAAGAAGUACGAUAUUGUUGUUAACAUUCAAGGAGAUGAACCUUUGAUUGAACCUGAAAUUAUAGAUGGCAUUGUCAAAGCCCUGCAGGUGAAGUUGGUCAUUUUGAUUUCUUUUCUUCUACUGGAUUAGAACAUUAGAACAACAAAUAGGCUAUUGAAUCUCUUACUUAUGGAUGCCAACAAAUACUUAAUGCUGUAGAAUGUAUCUGCAGUAGAAGGUUAUAUUUGGCUCAUUGGGAAGCAUCUGAUGUUUAAAUCUGACUUUCCAACAAAUAGUAAGGCGUUAGAAAUAAGCUUUUCUCACUCUAUGACUUUGUGCGAGUCCAACAGGCCCAACGCUCAGUGACGUGAAUUCUCUUAUUAAGAAGUAUUCCAAUUUUUUUUCUUUUGAACCAUGCUGAGAGGAAAGGAACUGGGCAUAACUCUCAGUGAAGUGAAUUUCCUUAUUAAGAAAAAUUUUGAUUUUUCAUCUUUUGAACCAUGCUGAGAAGAAAGGAAGCUAUUCCCAUAGCAUUUACUAGCUAUACACUGGAAAAAAAAUACUAGCUAUACCCCCUGCUGAGGCAUAACCUUUUAAACUUUAUUUUCCUGUCAGUUUGUGACCACCAAGAAGUAACCCUCUAAAUUAGCUUAGAGAUACAUAUCUAUCAGAGCUUGUUUUUUUAAAUUACACUGCUUGAGUUUUGUUUUAUAUUGUAACCAAUGUUAACUUCCAUUGAAUGGUUGAUUAGGGUGCCCCGGAUGCUGUUUUUAGUACUGCAGUGACUUCCCUGAAGCCUGAAGAUGCAUUCGAUCCGAAUCGUGUGAAAUGUGUGGUUGAUAACCAUGGUUAUGCCAUCUAUUUUUCACGGGGGCUCAUUCCAUUCAACAAGUUUGUGCUCUAAAUUCUACGAUUCGGCUGCAAUUACGCUGCUAAUGCUAUAGACACUAAAUCUGGAAUCAUUUCUGUCUUAUGGAUACAGGUCAGCAAAUGUUAAUCCUCAGUUUCCAUAUUUGCUUCAUCUUGGGAUUCAGGUACCGGCAUGAUAUCAUUUUGUUUGCACGUGCCACUGUAAGAGCCUAGAUUAACCAUGUAAUUACAAGUUUUGACUCUGUCUUUUUAAUGGCCAGAGCUAUGACUCAAAGUUUCUAAAGAUUUAUCCUGAAUUGACACCAACACCACUUCAACUGGAAGAGGAUCUCGAACAACUGAAAGUCCUUGAGAAUGGCUAUAAGAUGAAGGUGCAAUGGAGAUUCUCCUUGUUUCUUGUUCUUUUGAAUCUUUUCUGUGCUUUAUUUUAAGUUUUCUUUCAAAUUCUUCUCCCAUUGAAAUAAGGAAUAAAAUGAAAAAUGGAUAAAGUUCAUUGCAGCCUUCGUCCCUCAUGCUUCCUUUUACUACUUUUGGUGUCAUAAAUUUUCCCCGGAGGCACAGGAUGAGGCAGUUAAAUUCCUUGUGUAGUAAAAUGGACUCGAUCCCCACUUCUGUAUAACCUACUGCAGUUAUUGCACAUUCAUGCAGACAAAAAGAAGCAUAGAUUUGAGUUCAUAAUAACAGCAGGUUUCAUUAAUAGAAAGAAAAGCGAAGUUGUCCCACAUGAGUUCCUAAUUAAGAAUAGAUUUGAUGGGUACAUUCUUUAUCCUCAUAUAGUACCCUUUUUAUUGUUCUUUUUCGCUUUGUAGGUGAUAAAAGUAGACCACGAGGCCCAUGGAGUAGAUGCCCCUGAAGACGUGGAGAAGAUAGAACAUUUCAUGCGCGAGAGAAACUUGUCGUAAUUGUGGAUGAUUGGAGAAAUCAUCAAGGGUUUUAAGUGCACAGUUCACUUAUUACUUUUAGUUAGAGACAGAAAAUAGUUUAAGAACCAUGUGGGCGGUAAAGAUACAUAGUUUCAAAUGGUAAAGUAACUGAUGUAAAUUUGAUUUAGUAGUCUGUUUUGUGUUUGAUGCUUUGGUCCUAGUGGGGACUCAUGACUGUUCUGGAGCUUCUCUAAAAGGGUUCAGAAGUGUAAUUUGUUGACUUAUUUGCUAUAUUUGUUUGAGCGAAUAAAGCUGCGUCAUAUUCCGUCUGAUCGAGAUUGGGAGUUCUUGGUAUGUAUCAGAGCAGGAAACUGAUUUUUGAAUUACAACAGUAUAUUUUGUCAUUCUAGUGUUUUGGAAUUUCUAAUUUAAGACUAUUUACUCUGUACAAAUUAUUAAUUCGAUGUUGGGAUGAUAUGCAAGAGAAACAUUUUACCAAGGUAGUGUUGAGUGUAAGACUGCUAAGGAGUCGAGUUGAGUUUUGAACUUAUCGAGUUGAACUUGUUAAUGUGCGAGCUCGAGUUCAAGCUCGAGCUUGAACUGAAAAAAUGAAACUCGAACUUGACUCGGCUUAGGAAAAGGUGAGUUCGAACUCAACUCGUUUCUGACUUCCAAGCAGUUUGAGUAUCACUCCAUAUUCUGGUUCGCUAGGAGCUUGAAGUGAGCUCGAUGUUAAUUGAUAUAGGGAUAUUUUUAUAAUUUCACUUCAAUUUGAGCUUUUCAAACGGUUCGUUGAGUAAUCGAACCUAACAAAUGGUUGCUUGAGCUCGAUUCGUACAUACUAAUGCUCGGCUCUAACUUAGUGUUGAUCUAGCUCAAAUCGAGCUACUCGUGAGCCUGUCAAUUUCAACCGUAGUUGUUUGGAAUGGAAACUUGAAACUUCUCUGUCUUGUCCUCCAAAAGCCAGAAGGGAGAUAACGUCCCGGAAAUGGAGCCACAGCAGGGAUAUGACUACAGAGUGCAAGAGUUGAAGCGUGAAAAUAAGAGCGGCGUCCUCAAUCCUCAUGUCAUCAUCCAUAUUUGAAAUCGUAGCCUUUGCAUUUACUCUGGAUCUAAAUUAAUACUUAUUAGUCCUAUCGAAUCCUUCGAGUGGGCCUUUGCUUUUACUCUGGGUCUAAAUUAAUACUUAGUGCCUGUUUGAUAACAUAAAAAAAUGCUAAAAUUGAAUUCAUUUAGACAUUCAGAUAUUGUAGGUGUUUGAUAAAUAAAAAUUCACCUGCUGAACUUAUUAAGUGGUGCUGAAUUUGUAUGUAUUUUUUUCAGCACAAGAAUCGUAGUUGAAUGCUUAAUUUGAUAAGAGUCAAGAGAUUUACUUCAACUAUUUUAUCUUAUCUAUCAAAUAUAUCCCUGUUUGUUAAUUACCUUCAAAAUCCUUAUUUAAUUAAACAACCUAAUAUUCCCUAUUCAAAAUCCUUAUCUAAUUAAACAAAACAACCUGAUAUUCUCUAUUUAAAUUUUUUUUUUAACAAUAAUAUUUUUUUGCAGUAAUUUUCAUCCACAAACAUUUAUAUUUUGAUUUUUUUUGUGCAGAUAAAUAUUAUUUAUGUGAUGCAGUUUAUCCACACACACGUGGCUUUAUGACACCAUAUCGAAAUAUUAGAUAUUGGUUGUCUGAUUUUCAAAAUGCUUCUCAUCCAAGAUCAAAAGAAUAACGCUUUAACCAAGUACAUGCAAGAUUGAGAAAUGUAAUUGAACGUGCUUUUGGAGUAUUAAAAGCUCAUUUUCCCAUUCUCAAAACAAUGAAACCAUACCCUUUUCCCACACAAAAAAACAUUUAUGCAUUACUCUUCACAAUCAUUGUUAUUUUCAUACCUAACAAUUUUAAGUUAAUUAAACCAUAGGUUCUAUUUCCUUUUUGGAUUAAAAGAUAAAAGGGCAAAAUUGUAUAAUUUAGCUUAUUAAGCAUUAAGUUAUGAAUAUUUAUCAAACAUUAUAAAUAGAUUCAGCAUUAAAAUUCAGACAUUCAUAUAUCUCUUUUCAGUGUUUAAAAUUCAGCAAAUUAAUUAUUUCAGAAUUCAGAAUUCAAAAUUCAGAUUCAGUGUUAUCAAACGGAGCCUUAGUCCUAUUGAAUCCUUCGAGUGAAUAUCCCCAAAUAAAAAAAAAAACUUUUUGAGUGAAUAAAACUCAAAAUAAAGGAGCUGCUAAACUCGUAUUUUGGGCCACUACGCCGACUUCUAUUUGAAGGUUUAACCACAAGAAUGUAAUGCAUAGCGGUCGAACAAAGCCGCAUGAUUCUAAUUGUAAGAAUUUUUCAGGCUUUAAUAUUGUGAUACUAUCUAACAUUCAAUUCAACUUGUUGAAAAGAAUACUACUGUAUAUAGAAUGCAACAUUUCAGAUACAUGUAAUAAAUUAGUACUACACAACCCUUCUUUUUUUUUUUUGAAAAAAUUAGUACUACACAACUCAAUGAUCAUGUUGAAAGAAAAUUGCCUUCCAGAAAAGGCUGAGGUUAGGGAGAGGGGACACGCGAGGACCACGGCUCUAUAUUUAACAUCUUUUGGGGUACAGAAUGAAGUAAGCUAUCCUGGGAAACUGGACACUCUUUUAAAAUUCAUUGCUCCGUCAAAUCCCAAAAAUGAUACCGUACAGUAAUAAUAAUGAUUCAAAGCGUGUUGUGUUCAAUUCAUAUAGCCUUUGCGGAUACUCAUGUUGUAUGUUACUGUAGUGAAAUUCAUAACCAGAAGCAGAAGAAGCCAGCAGGCCACAGGCAGGGAUCCAGAGAGAGCAGGGGGUUAGGCAGCUGGAUGAUGAACAGGUAUGUAUAUCUCUUGUCAAUCAACAAGCAGAUAAGACAUGUCAAAUUGUCCAAUUGCUCCCCUUGUACCAAAUCCCUGGAUUUCGUUCCCUUUUAUUAGUCAAGUGCCCAUCUGAACUAAUGCACUACUGUCCAGUCGAAGGCCAAAUAAUUGCAGAAACAAAAAGACAGAAUAAAAAAAAAUGGGAAGAAGAAGCAAAUUUCAUACUCUCAUUUGUCAUUUCCUUCUUGGAUUGGGUGAUGAUUGGAUCACAUUUUAGACAAGAUCAAAACUUUAGAGCUUCUUCUUGCAGAAAAUAAGGACAGGAAUUAACUAUGUACGACUAAAAAUGCAAUUGAAGAUAAAAAGCAUCGCAUUUGCAUUCGUUACGCUGAAACUCUGACAAAGUCUAAGAAGCCCUAAUACUAAAUUACUAAUCCUAAAAGCAAAGAUUGUCAACAGUGCUCAAUUUUUGGUUAGUUGGGGGCGGGGGUUGGGGGGGGGGGUGCUGGGUUGUUGGGGCUGGGAGGUGUGAAAUAUCGUUCAGUUCAAUUGAUAACCAGCUGAACUUCAGUCUUGAAUAGAAGAAAAGACAGCGAAUCCAAAGAGAAAUACACAAACCCGCCUGGUGAAUGUGUGACAAAUGACCCGAAACUCUUCCCCACUACACAGUGCCAUGCCGGCCCAUACAACCCAUCAAACUCCUGUGUGAUUUUAAUAAAUCAAAUCAACAACCGACAACUAUUCAUUAAGGAGUUCGAAAAUUCAUUUAUAAUUGAUGGGUAGUUGUUAGUAAUAUUCAGUACCUUUUUGAGGGAACGAGCGAGGAGGGCGGGGCUAAGUCGAUGAGUCUGAGGAGUGGCGGCACCGGAGGUACCAGCAGCGACGAGUGAUCGGGUGUAGCGGAGUGCAUGCUCUUGCAUGGACACGGGCAUGUCUGAGGUUCUUAAUCGCACGUUUAGGCUGAUUGCUAUGGCUGCUAGCUUCAGUUCUUGUUCUGAUAGAGAGUUGUUGUUCUUCUCCUUGCUGUUGUUGUUGCUUUGAUCAGAAACAACAGGAAGCUGCUGCUGCUGCAACAUUUGUAAUGGUUUCUGAGGUCUUGACUUAGAGGAAGCUGCUGCUGCUGAUGAGAAUUGCAUGACUUUGGGUUGGGACUGCUGAUGGGAUUGAGAAGGCUUAUUUUUGGACUUGUUUUGAGUUGUUUCUUUCAUGAUUGUUAGAGGCGUAUGAAAAGAAUUGUUAGAGGUGGAUAAAGACACGAGAGAACUAGAGAAGAAGAGUUGUAGAAGCAGAGUUGAACUUUUUGACCGGGGAAAUAUGUGGAGUAGUUGGGGUUGGAGGAUUGGAAAUUGGAAUAUAAAGAAAGAUUUGAACUUUGACUGACAAUACAUGGUGAUAGAGACAGCAGCAGGCGAAAAAAAAAAAAACAGAUGAUAAUCCAAAUAGAGAAAAAUGCAAGACCUGCAAGAAUUAAUAAUUAGACUUGGUUGUGUUUAUUGCAAGUUCAUUUUUUUUUAUUUUCAAUUUUCUGCAAGGCUUUCUGUGUCUAUUUGGAUUUUGAGGAUUAGAGUUGGUGCUCCGCCCGGUGAAGAGGAGGAAAAAUACAAGUACACUGGACACUGCCUGGGGGAUGGUACACAAGAAAAGUGUGGGAUCAUCAAACCACAUAAAUGGUGUGGGGCGCAGCAGUUGCUGCAGCUGCGGACCAGUCUAAUUUUGUAGUACCAGCCAGUUAGGUUGGUGCUUUCCCUUUCCCAUUGCUGAAGAUUUCUCAUGAAUUACCAGCCGGAGUGACGGUUAAUCAAUCAACCCUCUUAUGGUUGUUUUCCAUUUUGCACUGAGCUAAGAGUAGAUGAUGAGUUUAACUUCCCCCUCAGAGUUCUCAAUAAUGCACUCCAAUUACAGUGAAUGUUUUUGAAACAUUUCACUGUAACUGCAUAUACGAAAAAUUUUUACUAUAAAAAUUUUUAAAAAUUUUUAAUAUAUUAUAUGAAUGAAAUAUUUUUUAAAUUAUUAUGCAUUACUGUAACAUUUUAUUUGAAAAGAAAAAUUUGCUAAAUUGAUCCCUAAUAUUUUCACAAAAAAUUUUUUUAAUCCCUAACAUUUAAAAUCAGUCAGAAUAGUUCCUAACAUAUAAAUUAUGAACCAAUUUGAUUCUAAUGCUCGUAUUUGCUCAUUUCUCUGAUUAAAAAUAGCACACCUCUAUCACGUGGGUAUAAUUUCAAGGGCAAAAUCGAAAAACAUUCGUUAUCCAUGGUUUUACAGGCAAAACCCUUUUUGGAUUCCUAUUAAUUUUCUCCCUUCCCUCGACACCAUUUUGCAAACUAGCCGGAAACUAUCAACAAAUUUCACCUUCUCAGUCAAAGCAGCUUUUGCACUUUCCUUGAUUUCCCGACUCCCGUAUCAAACCCCCAAGCCCUUCUUCAAUUUCACCAUACCUCUCAAAAUAAUUCAACAAAGUCUCAGAACUCAUCUCAGUUGGUUGGUAUAUUCUCCACCAAUUUUAUUGCUAACAAACCCAUCAAUUUUAUUGCUGGGGUUUUCUAGGGCAAGCAAGAAAGACUCAACAUUCUUGAAAGUAACAAAAUCAUAGACUUUUGAUAAAAAUCUUGCGGUAGGAUGGGAUGUCAUCAACGAUGGAAAUAACGGUAUGGAGAAUGCUAUGAUGGACAAUCGCAACUUCUGAAGGAUUCAACAAUUUGGGAUUUCGUGAAGGAUUGCAAAACGCAAAAUUUCACCUUCUUCGAACUUCAAGUUUUUUGGUUCUCUUGAGAUCAUCAGGCUUUGGUUUAGUGGUGAUGGUGGAAUGCAUCUGAUAGAGUAGGUAUAAGGAAAAUGACUCAAGAUUGACUCUAGGAGGAAUGGGUGGAGUUACGGAAGAGUAGGCAUUGAGAACUUUUAAACUUUGAAGAGAAUAUUCUCUUUCUUUCAGAGUCUAAAGCCAUGGAUUAACGAAUAUCUUUCGAUUUUGUCCUUAAAAUUAUAUCCACGUGACAGAGGUAUGUUAUUUUUAGUUAGAAAAAUGAGCAAAUAUGAGCAUUAUGAUCAAAAUGACUCAUAAUUUAUAUGUUAGAGACUAUUCUGACUGAUUUUAAAUGUUAUGGACUAAAAAAAAUUUUUACGAAAAUAUUAGGGAUCAAUUUGACAAAAUUUCCUUUGAAAAAAUAUCCAAUCCAAACGGAGAGAUUUUUUGUCCGUUGGCAUCGUCCAUUUUUAGUGACAAGAUAUUAGUCCAACGUCAAAGGAAUCAGAGCACAGUGAUGUGUUCUGCUUCUACAUGCUAAGGUCCUUGUUUCAAUGAUUGCUUUGUCAUUAAAUUUUCUUUUUUGAAAUGCUCUUUGGACAUAUUUUAAAUUUUUUUUUCUCGCAUACAUCAUCAUAUAAUUGUGUUUGGAUUACAUUUUUUUAAAUUUUUUGUAAAAAAUUACUAUAACGAUUUGAUAUAUGUAAAGUAAAAAGAUGAUUGAGAAAUGUGUUCAUGAAAAAUGUAGCAAUUUUUUUUUUGGAAACUGACAGUCCAAACAAGGCCUUUUAUCUAUAAAAAUUACGCCAAACUAUUGCCUUGACAUAUCUUGAGAUAUUAUAUAUGUAAAAUAAUUUUUUUAAAAAAAAUUGUAACCAUGAUCUAAAAAAAUGUUCAAUGGAUUUUUCAAGAAUGUAAAAAGGGAUAAUUUCAAAAACCUCGCUUGACACCUAAUUCCCCUAUACUUUUUAAAAUCUCAAUUAGCACCCUUGAAAUGAUAGUAUGGCCAUAUACUAAUAUCAAAGGUGAUGAAUUGUCAAUAAUGCCAUCAUAUUUAAAUUUUCUGAACUUGUUUUUCUUUCUCUAAAUUUCUUACUUUUCUUUAACAAUGUCAAUACAAACAUACAUAUAUAUAUACAAACAUAUAUAUACAUAUAUAUAUGUAUGUAUGUAUACAUAUAUACAAACAUACAUAUAUAUGUAUGUAUGUAUAAUUAAAUUGCAAAUGUCAAUAAAAUAUAGGAUUUAAUCAAUGAAAUAUUCAAUGCAUUUGGAGAAGAAUAGCUGCAGGUUCUUUUUAUUGUUUUCCUUUUUGGUGUUUAAUAACUUUAUUUAUUUAUUCUUAUUCAUGUAGAGCGCAUGAGAAAUAAAGUAAUUGAAACUCCAAAUAGUUUUUCAAAUUCUGACUUUUUCUAUAAUAAAAUUUUCAUAUUUUACACUCAUAAAAAAAGUCUGUCUAUUUUGAGUAAAUUUUUUGUAUGAUAUUGAAGUUGAAUUUCAUCUGUUACUAAGUUUUUUUUUGCUCAAAUGUAUGAUUUUACAUGUUAAUUACCUUCAACGCUAUGAAGGGUUUUAUUUGUAGAAAUGAUUUAAAAAAUAGUAUUUGCUUUUACUAUCUCUUUCUACCGUAGAAGUGACUAUUGGUUGUAAUUUAAAAUCUAAUCAAUUUUCAUCUCCUCACUUUUAAGAUGGUUUCAAUUUAGUACUUUUUUUUCCUUGGUUUGUAAAAUGUUCAUUUUUUUAUAGCCUAAGGGUAUUAAAGGCACUAAAAUAAUCUCUCUCCUCAAACAUGAAUUUUUUAAUAUUACUUUUAGUUAGAAGGGUUUCCAAUGUUACCAAAAUGUCAAUUCAAGGGGUGCUAAGUGAGAUUUUGAAAACCUCGAAGGAGCUAGGUGAUAUUUCAUAAAACCUCAGGGGAGGUUUAUGAAACUAUCCCAUGUAAAAACAAAACCAGGAGAAAAAACAAUAAUAAGUCCAAACAACGAACGAGUGACACGUGGCCCGAUAUUCCCCACACUCCUCAUCCAUCUAAUCUCAUAUCCCCAACACUCCAACAGACUCAACUCCGCCACACACAUUCACACACACACACCACUCUUUCCUCCUCCACUUCAUUUUUCCUUUGUAAAUAUCCGAAUCAAAAAUAAAACCAAAAAGAAUCGAAAAAUCAAAGAAUCGGAACCAGAAACUUAUCAACAAAACCUCUGUUCUCCCGGGAUGGCAGGCGUUCUCGAAACCCUAACCGUACCACGCGCCGCGUCUCUGCCCUCAGCUUCCUUGGCUCCCAUCCCCGGCUCUCCAUUCUCUACCAGCCGCAUCAGGUUUUCCGAGUUUAGAGGACUUAAGAUCCAGUCGACUAGGCCGUCGUCCUCCGCCUCGCUCAGUUCAAAUGCCAGACUCGCUCGCCGUGGAAGUCGAAUUGUUUGCGAAGCUCAGGAUACCGCUCUAGUAGGUUAGAUUAUUUCGAACUCUUUGCUUUUGCUUUUUAGAAACGGUUCUUUGUUUUUUAGCUUCUGUGUAUACUCAUGAUAUCUGAAAUCGAAGUUUAUAUUGAAUUGGAUUGUUUGUAGCUUCUUUGUUUAGGUUGAUUUUAAAAUAUGUGCUGGAAUUUGCGUGAAUCUGCUUGGCGAAUUUUAUGCAGGAGUUGAGGUGGUAAUUUCUGUUCGACUGUCGAACUUAAAUUUGAUUGAAGUGCGAAAUUCGCUUGUAGCUUAAUCCAAAGUCACUGGUAAUAUUCGCUUUUGAAAAUGUGACUGGAGAAUUGUGUAUCUACUGUCGUGCAACUCAAGAGUUAAUCAUAGCGAGAAUCUUUUCCCUCAGCAUCAUUCAGAGCAAGCUAGAAUUGUAGUCAGGAAAAGCAACUUGCAAUUGAGAAUUAUAGUAGCAGAUAAUUUGACUCGUUACACGCAUAUGGUCCGAGUCUUUCUCUAAUCUUAGUUAGGACGGUUACUAAUAAAUUGUAUUUGUAUUCAGUCUAUCUGGUUCCUGUCGUGGGGAGUUAUUCCUCCUUUUGGGAACUAAUUUUAUGGAAUUAUUAGUUUUAAGGGACUGUGUACAUUUCUGACCGUCUUAUAUGAAGAUCUCUAGGACGUUAUUGGUUAAGUUAGGGGCUUAUACGACUAUAAGCUAACUUCAAUUUGAUGUUUUCUUUUCCUGUUCUUUUGUUUGCUUUACGUUUUCAUUUGUAUGUUGUUUCCACAAACUUAGCUUACAUAGUAUAGUCCUUUCCCUGAAUAGUUGGAUUUUAAGGAGUUAUUGUGCUCAAAGUGCAAACUUCAUCUUAGAACUUCGCUGGAAACAUUUUAUAUAGAAAUGCAUUCUUAAGGUGGAAGAAUAGUUUCUUUAAAAAUAUCAGGCUCUGAAAUCAUUAUUGAAUUUGCAGACCCUGGGCGACAAUCUUUGUGAAUGACAUAAGCAGCCAAUUUUGUUUUUCUUGUGAGCUUCUUGUUUUGUAUGUCUAUUUAUGCUGUCUGAGAAUGCGUAAAUAGUGAAGAGUAGUUGCAGGAACCAAAUAUGCUCUCAUUAGACAUGUAGAAAAGAUUUAUCUGACAAUGGUAGGGCUUCCUAUUCUAGAGAAGAACUUUUUGGUAGUUUUUCCUUACCGGUGUUUGUAAGCAUAUCCCCUAUGUGUAUGUGUUGUCUUCUUCUGUAUCCACACUUAUGGUGUAUGUUGAAUCUGUAUUCUUCUUCAUAAUUGAUGAAUCAAAAUGGCAAACUAGUAUAGCUUAGAGCGCUGAUAAAAGUAAGAUUCUCGUCUUUUGAAUAGUGAUUUCUUGCAAUUCCAAUUGUGGCUACAGAGAGAAGUAUAUGGAAACAAAAAUGAUGGCUGGUGAUCUGCUCCUAUUCUCUAUGUUGGCUCUUGAAAAUGGAUCUGUUGUUGGUUAUUAUCUUAUCCUGUUUUGCAAUAUCUUUUUCCAAAGUCCAAGAGUUUAUGUGAUAUUGGCUUAGUGCUCAUAUAAGUUUUAAAACAAAUACAUUAUAAUUUGAUGCUUUCUCCUUCUUUAUCCAACCACCAAAUGAGAUGUUACUUUGAGAGGCAGGCGCUGGUGCUCUUUUAAGUUUCCGUCAGCGCGACCAUGGAUUUAGACUCUGGUUGAAGAAUUUCCGAUACAGAUAACCCUGUUCCAAAUUCAUGAUCUGCUACUCAAUUUCUAGGAUUUUUGUGGGAAACUGGUAAAUAAAAAUUUAAAAUUGUUCUUUGGUUCUUGAAUAAAUUGCAGUCCCACCUGUCAAGGAUGAUACGUGGCAGUCACUGGUACUAGAUUGUGAUUCACCUGUUCUGGUUGAGUUUUGGGCUCCAUGGUGUGGGCCAUGCCGCAUUAUUCACCCCGUAAUUGACGAGCUGGCUAAGGAGUAUGCUGGUAAACUUAAAUGCUACAAGGUUAAUACAGAUGAUUCCCCUGGAAUUGCAACUAAAUAUGGGAUCCGAAGCAUCCCAACUGUAAUGAUUUUCAAGAAUGGAGAAAAGAAAGACGCUGUCAUUGGUGCAGUUCCAAAACAAGUAUUGACUACUAGCAUAGAAAAAUUCUUGUAAAGUGGCGGGUAUCCUGUCCAUGAUGUUUCACGAGCAGAUUCAAUAAUCCUAAGAUGGUUCUGUAUAGAUGGAUGCUACUGCAUUCCCUAUUUGUAUUGAGAUAAUCUUGGUUACUAAAGUUUUUACAGUUUGACGUUGUCUUUUAGAAUUAAUUCUGUAUGCCUUUUUUUUUUUUUUUUUUUUUUUUUUUUUUUUUUUUUUUUGAGAAGAGGACAUCUCUCACUGUGAAAUUGGUUUUCCUCACUUUAAAGCUGCUUCUGCUAUUAUCUCCAAAAUACCUGCUGCACGUGGACAAAUGCAGGGGCAUUAUAGAGGCAUGCUUGCUAAACUACAGAAAUCUUUGAAGACUGGAGCAAGCCAUGCUACUCAUGUUCAGUGAAAUCCUGGUUCCUGUUUCCUUUUCACUUUUUUGUUGUCGAAUCUUACAUUGACAAAUUGGAGCAAACUUGACGAUACUUCGAAGUUCGAAUGAAUUUAGUACUUCGAAGUGAGGUGACUUUUUAGUAAAGAUUUAGGCUGGCCUCUCCCUCUGGGCUUUGUGACCAUGGAUGUGGGCUGGGUCUAGCUUUGUCAUUUGUAAAGGAAAAACUGCAGGAGCAGUUUUCUCCGCUACAUUUGCCUAUUUCACAAACGUGGGUAUUAUUAGCAACAUGUUGACGCUGAGGUCCGAGAGAGUCCAGUAACUAUUUCGGAACAACUUUUCAGUUUUCAUCCCUUAGAAAAAUUAUGAUCAAUAGUUCAAUUAUCAGGAUAGUCCUUUUUUUUUGGUGGAUGGAGAAGAGACCUACUCAUUGUACCCAAUAUUGCUUAUGUAUGGAAAUAGAAAUUAUGAAGGAUUAGCAUAGGACAACUUUUAUUCAAAUACCAAUAUUACCCUCAAUUAUUCAACGUCAUGUACUCCUAUUGAUUUUGUUGGGUCCAUUGUUGACUAGAUACCAUUUUCUUCCUCGUUUUCAAUAACAUAGCAUCAAGUUUUUUUUUUUUUAACUUUCCCUUUCAUUCCUGGCUUUUGAUAUCUUUUUUACAAUUUCUUUUGAUUUUUUUGAAAACCUUUGCAGUAUGUGGUUUAAGACCUUUUGCAUAAAAUUUUCUCCGCUUCAGAGUACUCUUAUUAUUUCUCUAUUGCUAUUGGUAAGUUUUUUCCUGCAUUUUUUCUUUUCUUUUUGCUUUUAUUCCAUUAUAUUUUCUAUCAAAUAAUCUAUGAUUACAGUUUUUGGAGUGAUCAUAAAUUUUGAUUAAAUUUGGGAUGCAAUUAUAGUAAAUUUCAAGUUCGCAAUUUUUUGAGUAAUAUUUGUUACAGCAAUAUUGUUGGAUUUUUUGUUUUCUUUUCUUUUUUCUAUUUUUUAAGUUGAUAAUUCUUGACUUCGUCACCUAUCCUUAUUUUCUAAUAUCUAGAUCAAAGUCAUUUUAAUCUACAUUUUUUGAAGGAAAAAGUGUGUCUACAUCUUGACUUCAACACGUGAAUAUUGAAGGAAAAGUGUACCUACACUUUUUUGGAUUAUUUUCAUUUGAACUGUUUGAGUUAAAUCAUGGUGUACGGUACCUACACUUUUUGGAUUAUCUUCACUUAGAGUGCUUGAGUUAAAUCAUGUUGUAUUUGCAAAAAAUAACUUAUAAACACAACUUUUAAAAAUAAAAAAAAGAAUUACAAUAUAAUAAAAGAUUAUGGUAAAAAAGUUAAAAUUGAAUGAGUGAGUUAUGAAAAUAACAAGUAAAUAAAUUAAAGAAAGCACAAAAAAAAAAAAUUUGCAGACUAGUCAAUUGAUUAGAAAGAGGAGAAAAGAGUAAUUAUUAGUAGAUAAAUGGGUCUAACAAAAUCAAUGAAAAUAUAUGAAGUUGAUAGGAAAAUAAAUUAUUGUUCUGACAGUAGUGUAUCACCAACCAACCAACCAAAACUUGCCGAGAAAGCUGGCUCAGGCAAAAAUGAUUGAAAGAUCUAAACAAAGAAGAGAAGGAUAAAGUCGGUUGCUAUCUUAUCUCCAUCAUCAACGAAGAGGGAAGCAGUAGGCUACCACUACCAGCACUCAACGUCAAAAACAGCUGGGCUGUAUGUUCAGACGUCGAAGUCUUAUCCAUGGGAGCGCUCACUCGCCUUUACUAUGCCCGCUAUACUACGUCACAUCAAGUUGUCAUUUUAAAUUGCAGGCGUUUACCCUGCUGCUGCAACCAUUAUAAUUAUUCUGUGCUUCUUCUUGUGAACCGAUAAGAUGAGGGAGAUCGAGUUUGGGACAAAAAUGGUUGUCAGCGAUCCUCAAUACAAUACAAUCAUGCCUCAACACUCUCUGUUAUAUGAUCGAGUUUCUUAUAAUGAUGUUCCCAUCCUACCACGUAAUCCAAUGGCAGCCAUGUAAAUGUUUCUCCUCUUCUUGACCGUCAAUUCUUGGCUUUGAAACUUUUUCUGUUUCAACGUCACCUGGGAGAAAAAAUCGAAUCCGAGGGUUCUGUUUGGAUUGUAAUUUUUAAAUUUUUUUUAUUAAAAAAUUAUUAUAAAAAUUUAAUAUUUAUAAGAUAAAAAAAUAAUUAAAAAAUAUAUUUACAAAAAAUAUAAUAAUUUUUUUUUUAAAAAAAAUGACUGUCCAAACAAAAUUUAUUUUGAACCCAUUACAUAAAUAUUUAGACCAUAGAAAUUCAGGUUAUAAAAAGGCCAAUCCUGUUCAUACAAGCUGCUUAGAAGCUUUUUGUUCAAAUAAUCUUCUAUUCAAACAGAACCUCUGAAGACGAGAAAACUUUCGGUUUUUGUCGGGGCAUCCACUCGUACGUUCUCGCCGACACGAAACAAAUGAAAGGACAAGAGCCGUCGGUCUCAUCCAUAUUGGGCGGUGAAAGAUUCCUUUCUGCGUUGUGUUACUGUGUUAGACGGCAGUCUCAUCUUAAUUAGUGUGGCCCUACUCUUAAGCCCUAAGGACAUCAUCCGUCUUCUGGUCUUAAGGUGCGUUUAGCCUCUCAGCUUUGGUUCUUCUCGCAUGAUCAGUAAAACGAUUAGUUUGGAAUUUUUUUUUUGGAUAUUUUAAGAAAAAUUAUUACAACAAUUUAAUAUAUAAAUAUAUAAAAUAAAAAAAUAAUUAAAAAAUGUGUUCAGAGAAAACGUAGUAAUUUUAACGUAGUAAUUUUUCAGAAAAAUUACUAUCCAAACAAGGCCUUUUUUCCAAGUAUUCAGAUUCUCAUUGUUGAAAUGAUAUUUUGAGGAAUGCGCAAAAAAGUAUUAAGAAAAGUAAUGCAUGAAUCCCUAAAGGCAAAAAUUUUGGCCUAAAUUCUUGUUUGUAUUGCUCAAAAAAGAUUUUGGUUAUUUUGAAAAUAUUUUUUCACGCCAUUAUAUCACAUCACAAAAACGUAAUAUUACAUUAUUAUUUUAGAAAACUACCAAAUACAAUCCAAACGGGGUCUUAAGAUUCCGUGCCAAUGUAAACACAUCCUGAGAUCAUGUUGUGCCAUGUGAUCGUUGAUUAGGAAGACAAUAAUAUGCUAAUACCUUUCCUCAUUCUUAUUCUUUAUGCUUCAGCACAUUUUCAAUGACGAGUGGCACGGUAAACUCGAUAACCAUAUACAUUUAUGCAUAGCCCUGUGUUGGUCACUUUAUUUAGGAAAAAGCCAGUUUAGAUAGCCAUUUUUCAUCAACAAUUUUUACGUAAACAUAUUUUUCAAUUAUCCUUUUAUGUCAUGCAUUUCAAAUUACUACGAUACAUUUUCUGAAAACCUAUCGCAAAUCAUUUUGUGAUGUGAUUAAUAUCACCAAAGCACACUUGUCAUUUCCGAUUGUGUUCAUCUUAGGAGUUUACAUGGAAAUUGCCCUAAGGAAAAAUGAUAAAAAGACGUUAAAAAUUGGCUCAAUUUUAAUUAGUUAUUUUUUAAGGUGUUUUUGAAAAAUUUUACUACAACAGAGUUUUUAAAAUAUAUUUUGAAAUAUUUUUAGAAUAUGUUUUAAAAUAUCUAAGAGUAAUAAAAUUUUUAAAGUAUAUUUUAAAUAUUAAAAAAAUAAAUUACAUUUUAGAGUGUUUUUUAAAAACUUUUUAUAAUAUUCGAAAAACUAGUGGAUUCAAAAUUAUUAGUAGCGUAGCAUAGCACCAGAAGUCAACAGGGUGACAUAAUGCUGACUUCACGGGUGACAGACGUCGUUAGAUCAAAAAUGAUCCGACGGUGCACAAAGCUUGGUGGAGUCCUACCCAUCCCUCCUUUUUCUUUUUCAUUUAAGUUAAGUUUUUUUUUUUUUUUGUUGCUUCCACCAAAGUGGUCCCCAUCCCGACCCCACCUAUAUAUUCAAUUUCUAAUUUCCCAACCUGCUCAUCACCAGAAAAAUGAAAAAAAAAAAAUUGCAUCUUUAAAAGGAGAUAAGCCUUUUCCUCAAUUCACUUAAUCAAGUUAGGAAUAAAAGGAGCAAAGCACGCCGCCUGCCCACUUUCAAGGGCCCACCCGUCUUUUCCACCAAUUAUCAAUUUUGUAGCUUCUACUUUUAUAUAUAUACACGUGUGUGUGUAGAUAUCAGUUAAUCUUAUAUAUAUUAUUACAAUUAAAUAUAUAAAAUAUAUGUAAAAUUUAGAUUUAAAUUAUAUAUUAUAUAUUUAAUGAUAAAAAUAUAUAUCAUUAGUAUAUAAAAGAUUAAUUAUAUACUAUAUAUUAAAAAAAUUGUAUGAUGAGUUCGUCAUUUUAAUUGGGUAUGUUUUUUCUGCACUUGAGUAACAUAAUAGAAAUAAUCAAGAAGUAGAUAACCAAGUACCGUAUUCAAUCUCUAAUUUCCCAACCUGCUCACCAUCAGAAAGAGGGAAAAAACAUGUACCAUAUUCAGGAAGUGGAUAGGCCUUGCCUUCUCUUCAAUUUACUUAAUCAAGUAGACAAGUACGCACAAGUUAGGAAGAAAUGCCUGCCCAAUCUCAAGGGCCCACCCGUCUUUUUCAUCGAAUUUGUAUUGUAGUUUCUUCUUUACACACACACACACACACAUAUAUAUAUAUACAUACAUACAUACAUACAUAUAAGCUUUUGCGACGAGUCCAUCUUUUUUAUUUGGUGUACUUUUUUCUGCUCUUAAUUAAAAUUAUAGAAAUUGAUUUUAAUGAAUUAAUAUUUUUUGAACUUUUCGACAACUUUAACAUGAUUCAUAUGGAUCAACGGCAUUGACAAUCAUAUAUGGGUGAAAAAUAAAUUUACUUCUACGUUUCAAUUUAGUGUCUUAAUUUGUGAAACUUUGUGGCUUUUAGAUGAAUUUUGUGAAUAGAGAAAAUAGAUUAAUUCGAGGCACUGAUCUAAAUCGAAUGAAAUGAACAAUUCUAUGAGGUUAAAUUUCGAGUCAUUAAUGAAUUAUAAAUAACGAGAAGAUCAAAAUCUUCAAACGCUAAAAUCCUGGUUAAUUUCAGAUAGAAGCAAAUUUUUUUUUAAUUUUAAAAAGGGAAAAAUUUAUAAAAUAAAUGUUUCUGUUAGUCUUUUUAAUAAAUUACUACUUGCAUAGGUUAAUUUGACAUAGACACACAGUUUUUUUACUUUAAAAACUUAUAAAAAAUAAAUGUUUCCGUUAGUCAUUUUAAUAAAUUACUACUUGCAUAAAUUAAAUGUUUGAGUGUGACACACAAAAUUGAAUAAUAUUUUGAGUCAUUUUUUUUGUUUGGAUAGUGAACUUACCCCAAAUAAUAUUUUGCUUGCAUCAUAAACACAUUUUUCAAUCCACUUUUUUAUAUUUCCAACUACCUUUUUAUCUCACAUACAUCACAUCACAAAAAGUACUACAGUAAUUAUUUAUUUGCCAAAAUAUAUUUGCUUACAUUAUCAUUACAAUUUCCAACACACCUUUUUAUUUUUUCAAUUACCUUUUUAUCUCACAUACAUCACAUCACAAAAAGUGCUACACUAAAAAUAUCUCUAAUAAUUCACAAUCCAAACAAAUUAAUAUUUUAAAUAAUAUCCUAUCCAAACAAACCCCCAGCUGACAAAAUAAAAGCUACUUCCAACAAGUCGAAAUUAACCCAAGAACAGUUAGAUUAUAAAUACUCAGAGGUAAUCAAAAUCCUGAUGCGUAGCACGAUCCAAAGGUAUUAAUUGAAAAAAUAAAAGCUACUAGACUUUACUAAUUUUGAUCACAAUUCUAGGCUCCUACCAUACCUGUGCCCACGGCAACCUAACAAACAGCUACGCGGCUAUAACCCUAUAUCGCCUUUGGGCUUUUAUAUUAAACAGCCAUUUUCAGUUUUUCACAAUCUUUUCAUUCAUUUCAUAUUUCUUCGCCACUAUUUGCUCUCCACCAUAUCAUUUCCACUCUCCCUCUUCGCCUCCUCCUCCUCCUCCUCCUCAUCCGCCACCACAUUCCAUCCUCCUUCCCCAUUUCCUGAACUUUUCCUCCCCUUAUAUCUUCCCCUUAAUUUUCCUCAUUUGAUCGGCCUCCCUUCACUAGCCCAUUUCAAUUUUACUUCCACAUUCAUUGAUUUCUUAUCUUAUCUUUAAAUACAGACGCAAAAUAUAAAAGAAAACCGGCCCCCUUUUCUCCUUAUAGACAUUGCAAAGUCUUCUUCAGCUUAUCUUCUUCUGACAUCUUGACUGGUAGGCUUUUCUUUCUUUAUGUCUGGCUUAUUUGUAUCCUUUUGUUUUCUGGGAAUUAUUCUCUUGUUAUACAGAUCAUUGGGAAUUAUGAGAGAAAAAUAUGAUCCGUUCUUUAUCUGAGAAAAAUUGAAAUGAAAAAGUGUUUGUGGCUUGUUUUGUAAGUUAUGGCACGGAUUUUUAGUUUAUUUGGUAAGAAAAGGAAUAACAUCUUGGUCAGAAUACUUCACUGUUUUUGUGAUGGCGAAAUUUGAUUUCCGCGAAAUUGAAGUUUGAUUAUUUCCGGACUAAAGGGAUUUCCUGGUUAGCUCACUCUUUUGUAUAUUUUGUUUCUUUUCCUUUAAUCCUAAAUAUAUCUGUAAAAUUAGCUAGAUUGUUAUAUUGAUAACAAGAAAAACAAAAUUUUGUUCAGCUGGUAAUUGAUAGUCCUCUGCCUCAUGAAGUAAAUUGAUUAAAAAAAAAAACCGUACUUUUUUUCUGAAAUGGUGCCUUGUGUUUUUUUUUUUGUCCCGGAUGAAAUUAAAUUUUCUUGCUUUUUGUUACAUAGUGCUGUUAGGAGGGCUUUGAAUGUUCCUUUCUUCAUGAAUUCUGGAUUUGGUGGUAGCUUAUGAUCUAUUGACUGCCGUGCUGGAAGAUCACGGUAAAGGUUUAUCUGUGUUUGUUGGUAGUCCUUUUUCUUUUUCUUUGGCGGUGUGUAUAUAUAUAUUGAUAAAAAGUUCUCAACUUUGGUAAAAUUUUUGGUGUUUCAACAGAGGUUACAUCACAAAUCACUAGAAAUACGGAUCUUAGAAUCCUUACCUAUGGUUAUUUUUGCUGCAUAAGCCUAUUGGAAGGACAAGACUUCUUGUAGGACAAAGUCGUUAUCUUCCAUCCGGACCUGGCAAAAUCUCAAGCUGUAUAUAGGGAAGGAGAGAGAGUGGGAGUGCAUUUAACUUUUGUUCUCGGACUAAAUUCGAUUCCAUUUUCUACUCCAUUUGCCCUAGGCACACUAUAGUUGCUUUUUCUUGUUGAGGGUCAAUUGGUAAUGAUGUAUGCUCAGUUGUCUUUAAAAGAAGGGAGACACUGGGACCAACGCAAUUCCUAUGUGGUUGCAUGUGUUGAAUAUGUUAUUAACUUGGGCCAUUCUGGCAUAGAUACAUGUCUUCAAGCCAUUGCCUUUCCUUUUACACCAAUAUAUAAUACAUUUGCUUUUAUCUCAUAGUGUUUAACAUCUUUGAAAAUUUUAUCUUUGUUUGAAUGCACUUCUACGCAUCUUUACUUUUUGUUGAUACUUUUGUUCAGACUUUUUGUGUUAUCUGCGUUUGACUAGGUUAAGAUGCCCUAGAUUUCCUCCAAUAUGUCCCCCAAUUUCUUGUUGACCUCAACCUGUUAUGGCUUUUCUUGGCUGCGCAUAUCCGUGCCCCUAUUUGGAUGAUCUACUAAUCGAAUGUCUCUGUCUUGUCAAGUAACUAAUUUAUUGUUGUCUAUCAAG
rnacentral:lncRNA from 1 species